rnacentral:rRNA from 1 species
UACGUAGGGGGCAAGCGUUAUCCGGAUUUACUGGGAGUAAAGGGAGCGUAGGUGGUUCGGUAAGUCAGAUGUGAAAGCCCGGGGCUCAACACCGGGACUGCAUUUGAAACUAACGAACUAGAGUGCAGGAGAGGUAAGUGGAAUUCCUAGUGUAGCGGUGAAAUGCGUAGAUAUUAGGAGGAACACCAGUGGCGAAGGCGGCUUACUGGACUGCAACUGACACUGAGGCUCGAAAGCGUGGGGAGCAAACAGG